CUCCAUCACUGGAGGAACCACUCUGGCGCAUCUUGCUAGAAUCUGGUGGCUCUGGGCUAACAGAAGACGCUGUAGGAGCAGCAUUUGUCUCCUUGCUGAUCCAGCCAUGUCACUGACAACACUACACAUGAACAAAGACAUCCUGACGCACUCUGCUUAAGACUACCAAUUUGGGCCAGGGAAACAAUUCCAGAACAUAUUACCAGUGCUGCAGGAUCAAACUGGGACACCACAUGAUGCAGAAGAACAGCCAGUAUCUUGAACCUCAGUCUUUUCUGGGCUCUCAUCCGGAUAAAUCCGCUCCUUCAAGCCACUGCGAGGACUCUGGGAAAGAAGGAAGUUCAGUUCUGAUGUGAAGGAGCCAUUUUCUCCAUAUAUGAAGAGCAACAGAUGGAGCAGGAUAUUCAUCACACUUCAAACUAUGGUGAUGUUCUUGCUCAGUGAAGCUGCCUCCCAGUAGCUGCAGAGACGUGAUGAAAAAAAAAAAAAAAAAAAAGAUGGGGAAAGGAAUAGGUUCUCUCUGCCUGGCUGAAUUCCAGCAAGAGCAUUUAGCUUUGCAGGCUGCCUAAAACUCAAACCUGUUGCGAGGCUAUUUCCUCUCCCUCUUCAAGCUAAGUUUAAUUAUCUGCUUCUGCUUUGCAUGUGACCCAGGAGCUCUGCAAAAGAACCUCCUCCAGUAAAGCUGGUGCCAACUGUCAAAACAAGCCACGAUCAGCACACAGUGACUCUUCCACUGGCACCCGCCAGGCAGCAUUACUCUAUCACAACCUGGCAAGCACAUUUCACCCUAUGAGAAAAAAAGUGGUUUUCUGGCCUAAACCAGGGACUGUGUGUCUGGAUGGCUCUAGCCAGAGCACAGCCAGAUAGCCCAUCUACAGAGGGGGAGACAAAAGCAUGGAUGAACAGGUGCAGACACCAAAAAACAUAGUUAAAGUCUUGCUGAUAAGUGCAAAACCUGAUAAGUCGUCUACUAAAAGGAAAAGGGAGAGGAGGUCAAGGUUUGCUAUGCAAUAUGUACAGCUGAAGUUGCACUGGUUAACAUCCAAAGUAAACAACACUCCAGCAUUUAAACCUAUCACCAACAUUCCUACGUCUUUCCACAGUGGAAGAACAAAAAAGUGUGCUUGUCUUUUUUGUUUUGGUUUCUUUCUUUUUGUAUUACAGGGUUUUAUUCUCACAACAAUUUCCAUAAUGUGAGUGGGCUGAACACUUUAUUUAACUUCAUAGGCCCGACAUAUCUGAGUGUAAAACUUGGGGCUUUCAGUACUAUUCAAAGGGCUGCAGCGCUUGGCAAAACUGCACUUACCAACCGUUGAGUAAGUAUUAAUAAACUCAUACACCGAGGCACCUGCCACUGAAGCAACCUGUCCUGGCUUUGAGUGAGUGGUGGCAUUUUUGGGUAGCAGGGGAGGGGGCUACAGCUGGUGAGAACCAGAUACAGAGAGAAGUUAUUUUAGAACAUGUAUCCAUUUCCAAACUACUACAAGGUAUUUUCCUUUACUGCUGAAGGCUAUCAUAACUCAAGGGCAGAGAAGUCUGUGACAAAUGCAUUCAUUUUACCAGUGCUCUACUAACUUUGACACAUCCUUAAAACAAAGAAAAUCCCACAACAAUUGCAAAUGGUGCUCUCUGCAGUAUCCCCGUACCACCUUCACCAGCCAAAAUGAUUGAGCUUGUUGGUUUGCUAAGAUCAGAUCUGCACCCACAUGAACCACUUCCGCUACUGAAACCGCAGGGACUACGCAGGGCAAACCACAACCUAUCAUUUUGUGUCUCUCAACAGACAGCAAGAACAAAUUGCCAACUAGAGAGCUGCAGUUCCUCAUUAUGAGAUCUCUUUAGCUAAGAACUUUUAUCCUCGACACAGAAGUAUUUGAUAAACCAUCAUUCCCCACCACCCUUACAUUAGGGAGUUCACAUCAUAUAAAUUCAUUCCUUUCUCUCUAUUACAGUUCCCCCUGAAUAUAUUUUCAAAGUUGUUAUGAUGCUGCCUACCUAAGUCAGAUUAGACGGCUACACAGCAGUCUGCAGCAGUGGAGAAAAUCACACGUUUAAAACCAGAAACGAUUUGAGAACAGCAGCUUAAUUUUGCCUCAAGUCACUGCCUAAUUUGGGACAUAACAUAAUUUUUCAGAGGGUGGAAAAAACAUCCUAUCGACACAGAUCAGAAAACUGCAUUAUUUUCUUACUUGCAAGCACCAACUUUGAAAGCAACUUAACAAGAGAACAGGAAUCAUUAUCAUGGCUCAAAUACUGUCACAUGGGACUUGCCAUCACUGCAACCCAAGCAAAAUUUUAGAAGGCAUUACAACAGCUGAAACAGUCUUCUGGUCCCAAAUAAACAGUAUCUGCCUCCUCAAGAAACAGACAGGUACUCCCAGACACCGAACACCUAUCUUCUGUCCUCCACAGAAAACUCAACAGUUGUAGCCCUGGCUUGUCAGGGUUUUUAGCCUUACACCAGCAGGUCUUAGUCCUCUAGGGCUGACGUGUGCCUUCAGAAUGCACUGGCAGACAGGAAACCUCUCUCCUAUCUGGCAGUUGCCACCACCUCUCCCAUUUCUGUCCCUCUCACUCAUUUCCUAUUGACUUUCUCGUGUCUUACAUUGCAGCUUUUUCCUAUUUCCUUUUUUUCCUCGCUAAUUAUAGCGUCUCUCCUUCAAUUCUCUCCCCCUUUUUCCAACACUUUUCUGGGAGCUUUGAUCUCAGUCCCUACUCAUCAGAAUAUUCUUUUGCAUCUGGGCACAACGGAGGCAUGCAAUGGUGCCUCUGUGCCACGACAGUACUGAGAGGAGAUGCCUUGUCUGAUGUGCUGCCAAUAAGCUACACUAACAGCCACUAUCAUAACAGGGUAAAAAGACUUUCAAGCGGCAAUCAGAUACUUCAGGUAAGCCUGCAGGUUGAAGCUUGUCUGUUUAUGGGAGUGGUGGACUCAGAAUCCUGUACCUGUCUCAGAUCAGUCUAGUGCUUUAUUAAAUAGAUGGGUCUUUUCCUCCAGACUGGGAAAUACUUUCUAAGGUCAAUUCAGAUCCCAUCUAAGCUUUCCAACCCCCUUCCAGCACUACAGUUCACUCAGGACUCCAUAAAAGACUAUCUAACUCUUCAUGGGUUACUGGUUCAUCUUGGGAAGUCAUCCAAGCUCCCGGGUAAAAUGACUGCCUGUGAUACCACAAACAAGGAUUCAGUCUGCAAAUAAAUUCAAGAUCAGCUUCUCACAAAAACAAGAAUAGUCGUGCUGCUACUCACAGUUUCAAGAAGGAACAGCGCUUGGUUUCCACCAGUAUCUCUGAAGACUUCCAAUACGUAUUUUAAGAGCUCGGGAGCAGAUGGAAACCAGUUUGACUCUUACCCUUGUAUACGUAUCUCUUGUGCCAACUGAGAGUAAACAACUCCCAAAACCUGGGGUUUCUCCUUUAGGUUUCUUGCAUCAACACUGCAACUUCUUUAUAACCACCAAAAGAGGCCAUUCUGCUCAAUUCACACAGUUCAGUCCGUCUUUUACAUAGCCCUGUUCCAUGACCACAAAAGAUUUAGUUUUCCUGAAUCCCUAAAUGAACUGAGACCCAAGUGCCACUUCCAGGGCAGCAUACACUGUUAGCAUGCCAGUCCUGAGAAGAACACUGCCUAUCUUCCACAGGGCAUUUGACAGUAUCCAAGUACCAAACACGACAAUGAUCCAGAUAGAGUACAACCACAUUAUUCCAAGUACAGGAACUCACAUGCUAUGCCUUAGGACCUUUUCCACCUCAAGUAUUCAGCCUCAGGAAGGACACCAUUCAUUUGCUUUUCCAGUGCCAGAGCAAAUUAAUGAAGUACCUUACCAACUGACAUCAGAGCUCAGAAGUUUCAGUGUUGUCAAAACAAAGCUUAAAAUAGCCACAUAGAUAAUAUUUAAGUGUUUGCCAACAAAUGUAAACGGCAAUGUUUCUUAUUUACCAGACUUCGCUAAACGGUACAACUGUGCAAGAAAGGGUUCCUGCCCAUUGGUCUUAGAAGUCAAACAGACACAAUACAGAAAAUGCUCAAGGAAAGGAUGCAGAGUAAUAACAAAGCAUAAGUGAUGUUUAGUAGACCAUUUGUGAAUGUCACA